CCUACGGGGCGCAGCAGUGAGGAAUAUUGGUCAAUGGGCGAGAGCCUGAACCAGCCAAGUCGCGUGAAGGAUGACGGCCCUACGGGUUGUAAACUUCUUUUGUCAGGGAGCAAUUGGGUCCACGCGUGGCGUUUUGCGAGUACCUGAAGAAAAAGCAUCGGCUAACUCCGUGCCAGCAGCCGCGGUAAUACGGAGGAUGCGAGCGUUAUCCGGAUUUAUUGGGUUUAAAGGGUGCGCAGGCGGAAUGUCAAGUCAGCGGUAAAAUUUCGGGGCUCAACCCCGUCGUGCCGUUGAAACUGGCGUUCUUGAGUGAGCGAGAAGUAUGCGGAAUGCGUGGUGUAGCGGUGAAAUGCAUAGAUAUCACGCAGAACUCCGAUUGCGAAGGCAGCAUACCGGCGCUCAACUGACGCUCAUGCACGAAAGCGUGGGUAUCGAACAGGAUUAGAUACCCUGGUAGUC
rnacentral:rRNA from 1 species